UGUGUGCCUUUUUACUUGGAAACUUGUCAGCUCUCCGGUUAUCUCUCCCCUGCUCUCUCACAGCGUUCAACCGCUGACGUCACUCUGACAGCCUGCUACACCUCUCGCUGUUCAGACAGGAAGUAUCUGGAUUGCUGCCAGUUUUCGUACAGACACCGGAGUUUCACUGCCACAUAACAAGACACUGCUCUCCUGAUGGGCAAGUAAUUUGCAUACAAAGAGAGAAGCGCUCUACCAGGAACGAACAACAGCUCAGUGGCUUGUUCUAUGGCGAUUUACUACCCGGAAGCAGCCUCUUUUAGACCAGUGUGCUUUUCACAGAAGAAAACUUUCCUGAAGUAUAUCAGUCUGAUCCCGCCAAGUAAGUGUCGAACCCUAUUUCUGCAGGAUUCUAACGUUCCUGAACCAAGAAAGGAUAUCUUUUAAUCCAAUUCAUCGGAACCUACUGUUUUUUCAAGCAAGAUCCUUACAUCUAUACAUUUUAGAAGUUUAUUAUUCUUCAAUCAGUUUUCUUUGUCUGCUUAUUUCUUGAUAUUUUUCAGCUUAAUUUGUUUGGGACUUUUGCUCUCUUUCAUAAAUUGUAUUUGGUUUCUUCCGCAUCAAAGAUCAAAGAGGAGGAGUUGCUACUUACUGGACACUUUAUGGACACUUGCACUAUUCUGAUUGGUCCUUACUUUCUCUGACCUCUCAAGUUUUUCUCUCAUUGGUCUCUGUGUUAUACUCAUUAUUUGGAUUGUUCUUAUUGUAAUUCAUAUAUAUGCAUUAAACGUGCUGUCUGGGCAGUAAAGAAAAUGUUAAUAGCAAAA